CGGCGAAAGCCGGAUUAAUACCGCAUACGAUCUACGGAUGAAAGCGGGGGACCUUCGGGCCUCGCGCUAUAGGGUUGGCCGAUGGCUGAUUAGCUAGUUGGUGGGGUAAAGGCCUACCAAGGCGACGAUCAGUAGCUGGUCUGAAAGGACGACCAGCCACACUGGGACUGAGACACGGCCCAGACUCCUACGGGAGGCAGCAGUGGGGAAUUUUGGACAAUGGGCGAAAGCCUGAUCCAGCAAUGCCGCGUGUGUGAAGAAGGCCUUCGGGUUGUAAAGCACUUUUGUCCGGAAAGAAAUCCUUGGCUCUAAUACAGUCGGGGGAUGACGGUACCGGAAGAAUAAGCAC
rnacentral:rRNA from 1 species